UACGGAGGGUGCAAGCGUUACUCGGAAUCACUGGGCGUAAAGAGCGUGUAGGCGGGUUAAUAAGUUUGAAGUGAAAUCCUAUGGCUCAACCAUAGAACUGCUUUGAAAACUGUUAACCUAGAAUAUGGGAGAGGUAGAUGGAAUUUCUGGUGUAGGGGUAAAAUCCGUAGAGAUCAGAAGGAAUACCGAUUGCGAAGGCGAUCUACUGGAACAUUAUUGACGCUGAGACGCGAAAGCGUGGGGAGCAAACAGG
rnacentral:rRNA from 1 species